UAUCACCCCAAAACAGCUGAUGGUGGUUGUUUAGUUCGUCGGCUAUUUCCUGCACAAAGGUGUAAACUGGCGAACAGAAAGUCGGAAAAACUAGGUUUGACUACCGUGCGGUAGCUUACUAGAAAAACUCCAUUAUCAGCAAUAUCGAGCCAAACAACAUGUGCGAUAAGACAAUGUGCAGGAGAAAGUUCACGUUUGCCCGGGUAAUAACGAAAGAAAAGAAUCUGCGAAGCCGAAAAGUGCACGAUACGAAACAAUUUCGCUGUGCAUAUUUUUAAACGGGGACCGCACAUGUUGACUCGACUGUACAAUACUAAACGGAACAACCAAUGUUCCACAAUCUCCAAAUGAAUUUUUAACACAGAUUAUUAAACCAAUAAAAGGUCGAUAUGUCAAGGAUGUUUUUGUUUAUUGAAACACCUAAAUAAAUCACAUGUACGAAAAUAACAGUUAUUUCACGCAAAUAAACCAUCUGUUAACAGAG